CUGCCCUCAGCUCUGGGAUAACCCCGGGAAACCGGGGCUAAUACCGGAUACGACCUCGUCAGGCAUCUGUCGAGGUGGAAAGUUUUUCGGCUGAGGAUGGGCCCGCGGCCUAUCAGCUUGUUGGUGGGGUGACGGCCUACCAAGGCGACGACGGGUAGCCGGCCUGAGAGGGUGACCGGCCACACUGGGACUGAGACACGG
rnacentral:rRNA from 10 species